GAUGAACGCUGGCGGCGUGCCUAAUACAUGCAAGUCGAGCGAACAGACGAGGAGCUUGCUCCUCUGACGUUAGCGGCGGACGGGUGAGUAACACGUGGAUAACCUACCUAUAAGACUGGGAUAACUUCGGGAAACCGGAGCUAAUACCGGAUAAUAUAUUGAACCGCAUGGUUCAAUAGUGAAAGACGGUUUUGCUGUCACUUAUAGAUGGAUCCGCGCCGCAUUAGCUAGUUGGUAAGGUAACGGCUUACCAAGGCAACGAUGCGUAGCCGACCUGAGAGGGUGAUCGGCCACACUGGAACUGAGACACGGUCCAGACUCCUACGGGAGGCAGCAGUAGGGAAUCUUCCGCAAUGGGCGAAAGCCUGACGGAGCAACGCCGCGUGAGUGAUGAAGGUCUUCGGAUCGUAAAACUCUGUUAUUAGGGAAGAACAAAUGUGUAAAUAACUAUGCACGUCUUGACGGUACCUAAUCAGAAAGCCACGGCUAACUACGUA
rnacentral:rRNA from 1 species